rnacentral:rRNA from 1 species
GGGGCCUACCAAGGCGAUGAUGCAUAGCCCGAGUUGAGAGACUGAUCGGGCCACAUUGGGGACUGAGACACGGGCCCAAAACUCCUACGGGGAGGGCAGCAGUAGGGAAUCUUCCACAAUGGACGCAAGUCUGAUGGAGCAACGCCGCGUGAGUGAAGAAGGGUUUCGGCUACGUAAAAGCUCUGUUGUUGGUGAAGAAGGACAGGGGUAGUAACUGACCUUUGUUUGACGGUAAUCAAUUAGAAAGUCACGGCUAACUACGUGCCAGCAGCCGCGGUAAU